rnacentral:rRNA from 1 species
CUGACUGCUAUCGGAUUGAUACUAAGCCAUGCGAGUCAUUGUAGUAAUACAAGGCAGACGGCUCAGUAACGCGUAGUCAACCUAACCUAUGGACGGGAAUAACCUCGGGAAACUGAGUAUAAUGCCCGAUAGAACAUUAUGCCUGGAAUGGUUUAUGUUCCAAAUGAUUUAUCGCCGUAGGAUGGGACUGCGGCCUAUCAGUUUGUUGGUGAGGUAAUGGCCCACCAAGACUAUUACAGGUACGGGCUCUGAGAGGAGUAGCCCGGAGAUGGGUACUGAGACACGGACCCAGGCCCUAUGGGGCGCAGCAGGCGAGAAAACUUUGCAAUGUGCGAAAGCACGACAAGGUUAAUCCGAGUGGUUUCUGCUAAAGGAACCUUUUGUCGGUCCUAGAAACACCGAUGAAUAAGGGGUGGGCAAGUUCUGGUGUCAGCCGCCGCGGUAAAACCAGCACCUCAAGUGGUCAGGAUGAUUAUUGGGCCUAAAGCAUCCGUAGCCGGCUCUAUAAGUUUUCGGUUAAAUCUGUACGCUCAACGUACAGGCUGCCGGGAAUACUGCAGAGCUAGGGAGUGGGAGAGGUAGACGGUACUCGGUAGGAAGGGGUAAAAUCCUUUGAUCUAUUGAUGACCACCUGUGGCGAAGGCGGUCUACCAGAACACGUCCGACGGUGAGGGAAUGAAAGCUGGGGGAGCAAACCGGAUUAGAUACCCGGGUAGUCCCAGCUGUAAACUAUGCAAACUCAGUGAUGCAUUGGCUUGUGGCUAAUGCAGUGCUGCAGGGAAGCCGUUAAGUUUGCCGCCUGGGAAGUACGUACGC